rnacentral:misc_RNA from 1 species
CAACCUGCCGGCAAUUAUUCAUCCCUGGUCCAGUAAACACUUCGUUUUCAGGUGUCGCUGUAGACGUAUUAGCAGUAACAUCAACGGUCCUGGACCUUGUCAAACAAGGGCCAUUCUUCUCAUAUAUAAUAAUAUCUAUUUCCAAUUCCAUUUCCUAUUUCACACGUAAAUGUGCAGCUCACAAUACAAUUCCACCAUCACCACCACCAACACCAACAACCACAAACGCUCCUCUACCCACC